GACGAACGCUGGCGGCGUGCUUAACACAUGCAAGUCGAGCGGAGCGGCGAACGGGUGAGUAACGCGUGAGUAACUGCCCCCCUCUCUGGGAUAACAGUUGGAAACGGCUGCUAAUACCGGAUAGUGGGGGAUGACUCGCGUCCUAUCAGCUUGUUGGGGGGGUAGUGGCCGACCAAGGCGACGACGGGUAGCCGGCCUGAGCGGGCGACCGGCCACAGUGGGCUGAGAUACGGCCCAAUCUCCUACGGGAGGCAGCAGUGGGGAAGAUGGCACAAUGGGCGCAAGCCUGAUGCAGCGACGCCGCAGGAGGGAUGAAGGCUUUCGGGUUGUAAACCUCUUUCGGUACAGAACGGGUAUGUGCAGAAGAAGCGCCGGCUAACUACGUGCCAGCAGCCGCGGUAAUUC
rnacentral:rRNA from 1 species